CAGCCAUAAUAAACGUAUAAUUCAAUCACUUACAUCAGCUGGUAUUACUGUCUACAAUAUACAGAUCAAUUCUAGUGCAAGUGAGAUGAGGGAAUUAACAAGAAGGAUUAUCUUGAAGUGAUGGUUGGAGAGACCUCCACAUAUCAAAUAAAUUGUGCCCAUGCAACAGUUUAGACAAAUUUUGACCUAACUUAACUUGACCACAUCUAGGUUUAUGUCCCAUUCAUUGAA